ACUGCUGUCACCGGUGUUAUUGUAAUCUGAAGUUGUGUUUGAGUAUGAGAAGCCGACACCAGCAGGGCUCUCAAGGAAGAGCAUGUUUGCCACUGCCAUCCAUAAAAACGAUCAGUCAGUGCAAUCGAUCGUGCAAAGUGUCCUGUUAUCGCUAUUAACGAAGAAAGGUCCAAUUUCAAGCAUAGCUCCACCCAGAGAAGAACAUCCUGGCCCUGCAAUUUCAAGGAUGUGCCAAAACAAUUGGAUUAGCCAAAAGAAAUUCUGUUGAAAGAUAAGAGUGGUUUGAGACUACGACGACGACCGGGAACUUUAAAAUGGUGAACUGAGUCACACCAGAAUUGACUUGGAAUCUGGAUUGUUAAAGAGCAAAUCAAUCAGGAAGCAAUUGCCACACUUUCCCUUGCAUCCGGACAUCAGAUGGCACGGAGAGGCACACCAUCGCUCAAGGGAAGCAAGGACCUACGCUAGUCCACUUCACAGGAUGUAGAGUAUGUGAUGGCGUCGCCUAGUGGUCGCAGGGUGGAGUGCGCAGACACCCGCGGCGGCAAAGGCAGUUCCAUAGGUCUAACGGCGUGUACAAUGGGAUGACGUCGGUUUUUUUUUAACGAUGCCACAUAGGAUAAUUGCUAAGUGGAAGAGAGAGAAAUGAAGAAAAACAUUAGCUUUAUCUUAGAUAAGAGAUGAUCUUUUUAUAAGAAGGAUAAGGCAAAGAAGUCAAAUUUCCCAUUGUACUAGAUUUUGUCUUUUCUCAAUAUUUAUUUAUUUAAUUUUAUUCAUCUAAACAUUAAUUGUAAGAUAUGGCACUAAGAGAUGACCUAUUGUACAACAUAUUUUGUUGUUUUUUCUAAAUAAUGUGGAACACAUAAAAGAAGGCAGUCCUAUCAACCAUUGUCCUAAGUAGCUUUGAUGAACAGGAUGUAGUCAAAGUUUUGAACGGGCCCUAUAGCAGUUUGGGAGUAGUUCAGCUACCGCUACGAUUAUUUAGUGCUAAACAGGACAAACCCUGCUAAUAGCGCGCUAAACUACAAAUAGCGCUAAAAUUUGACAUGAUAUUAUAGCGUUAUAUCUUCGUUGUCAGUCCAAAAAUUUGGCCCAAAUUAACGGUCGUUCGCACGGCUCAUUCCUCAUUCCCUCUUUUUGUCAUCCGAAAAUCACCAAGAGAACCCUAGCCUCCAUUCUCCGUUCCUCUUCUCUUCUAAAAAAAGUAGUUGCUGUCAGCUGACUAUUUGCAACGACAUCUCUAUAUGUGAUAUAUGAUGCCUGGUUGGGUGAUUUUUUUUCACCUUUUCAUGAUUUUAGCAAAAUCGCUAAAUGGUUUAGCCUGUUGUUUAAAACUUUGGAUGUAGUACGAGGUACGUGGAUAUAAUGGAAGGAUAACAUGCGGGGUUUUUUGCAAACAUUUUUAAGUAGUUGGAGAUAAUCAUCUCCCAUCUCGGCUGCGUCCAUCUAUGAUCCGACGGCUUUGGGCCGCAUUUUUCAGAUUUGCACGAGAUUAACGUAUUCGCAUGGGCUAUAUGCAUUUUAUACACAGAAAAAGAAGCUUGCAUUUUCGAAAAAAUAUCUUAGUCCCAUAGCAUACACAUGUGACGCCCAUGAAUCCUAGGUAUAUCUCUCCAUUAUCAUGAUUUGUUGUUCUGAAUAGUUCGUUUAGUUUCCAAGGACAUGGGAAAAACUCUAAUCAUGGUUUCCAUAUCAAUUUGGGGUAAAUCUGUUUUACAUCAGUUGUUGUUCUGUAAUGGUAGUAGUAUGCGUGCAUCCAUUGCAUGCUACUUCAAUAUUUAUGGGCUUAGACUUAGAGGAUGCCAGUAUCUUGUAAUAUGAAUUGAGGAGAAAACACCAAAGUGAUCACAAGAGAGCAUUUUCAGGAUCUUUAAUUUACAACAUAUAGGAUUCAUGAGCGUCAUGUGUAUGCUCUGGGCCUAAGAUAUUUUUUUGGGAUCUUGAUGAUGUGGUUAGGCUUAGCCUCAAUGUAAUCACAAGUGUAUUGGCAUGUAUGUGCAUCGGCUCAGUCCACAUAAGAACAAGAAGAAUCACCUCUCUUAAUGUAACGAUUAUCGAAACAUAUGACUAGUAAAAUACCCGCCUUCCUCAGGAGCCAGUGGCGGAUCCACAUUGAUGAAUGUGGGUUCAUCUAUGAUUUAUGAACAUACAUUGAAACAUAGUGGUGUUUGUGAUUAUAUUUUUGAGAUGCCAAAAUUUUAAAGGGACUGCACCCACAUAUCCCUAGCUCUAGAUCCUACACGGUGCAGCUAUUUGAUCUUGUUAAGUGCCAUCUUAGGCUUGUUCUCUAUCAUAUUUUGAGGACCGGGCCAUCACUAAACUUUAUUACUCCCUUCUAUCCAUAUUAUUUGUCGAAAUAUUACAUGUAUCUAGACGUUUUUUAGACAUAGAUACAUCCAUAUUUAGAGAAAUUUGAGACAAGUAAUAUGGAUCGGAGGGAGUAUUACUGUAACUCGCUCGUUCUACAGCUGUAUAUGAAAACAGUUGCUACUCAACAACGUUUGCAACAUUUGCAUUUAUCUGCCAAUUUCAUAUCCUGGUUUCCUUCUGUUCCUCAUUGGGUUCGGCACUCUUAUUUACCGAAACGAGGUAGGCCACAUGAUUGAUCACAUCGUCAUGAUCCUUGAAGUUCUUAGACCUCAUAUGGUGUGGGACCGGUUUCCGAGUGAUACACCUUACCGGGGCUCGACAACGCGAGAUGACAUGCGGGACAUUGUCGUCAGAUAAGAAAUAUCAUAGGCUUGGUGAUGUGAGUAAUGGUUGGAUUUGGUAGGAAGGGUGUCAUAGCAAGCAAGAUGGCUCUUGGAAGGCUGAGCUUCUGGUGGGUGCAGUGACAAAGGCUCCGGUGACAAUGUGAUGGAGGCGUCUGCCAUGCGGGGGUUGUACCUUGCUGGACGAGCAUGAGAGAGGCAAAAGAGUAACAAGAUGAAUUUCAUGUCUUCAGGUUUUCAAUUUUAGUUCCAGAAAUAUUCGGUCACUUCUGAAAUAAUUGAAUUUCACUGAAUUUCAGUGGUUUUGGUUUUCAGUUUGGUGAAUGACGAAAAUUCUCACU